UUUUUCCUACGGGAGGCAGCAGUGGGGAAUAUUGCACAAUGGGGGAAACCCUGAUGCAGCGACGCCGCGUGAGUGAAGAAGUAUUUCGGUAUGUAAAGCUCUGUCAGCAGGGAAGAAAAUGACGGUACCUGACCAAGAAGCCCCGGCUAACUACGUGCCAGCAGCCGCGGUAAUACGUAGGGGGCAAGCGUUAUCCGGAUUUACUGGGUGUAAAGGGAGCGUAGACGGCUGUGCAAGCCAGAUGUGAAAGCCCGGGGCUCAACCCCGGGACUGCAUUUGGAACUGUGUAGCUGGAGUGUCGGAGG
rnacentral:rRNA from 1 species